CAGUCGCCGCGGUAAUACGUAGGGCGCGAGCGUUGUCCGGAAUUAUUGGGCGUAAAGAGCUCGUAGGCGGCUGGUCGCGUCUGUCGUGAAAUCCUCUGGCUUAACUGGGGGCUUGCGGUGGGUACGGGCCGGCUUGAGUGCGGUAGGGGAGACUGGAACUCCUGGUGUAGCGGUGGAAUGCGCAGAUAUCAGGAAGAACACCGGUGGCGAAGGCGGGUCUCUGGGCCGUUACUGACGCUGAGGAGCGAAAGCGUGGGGAGCGAACAGGAUUAGAUACCCCAGUAGUCCCUGUCUCUUAUAC
rnacentral:rRNA from 1 species